AGGGGGCUAGAGUUGCUCGGAAUCACUGGGCGUAAAGCGCACGUAGGCGGAUUGCUAAGUCAGGGGUGAAAUCCUGGAGCUCAACUCCAGAACUGCCUUUGAUACUGGCGACCUUGAGUCCGGGAGAGGUGAGUGGAACUGCGAGUGUAGAGGUGAAAUUCGUAGAUAUUCGCAAGAACACCAGUGGCGAAGGCGGCUCACUGGCCCGGUACUGACGCUGAGGUGCGAAAGCGUGGGGAGCAAACAGG
rnacentral:rRNA from 1 species